rnacentral:tRNA from 1 species
UGGCUGAGCGGUAAAGCGUUUUGCUUCCGAACCAAAUGUCCCGGGUUCGAAUCCUGG